UUUCUUUCCAUCAGACUUUCCAGGAACAAAACAUAACCUUUAAGGUAAGCUAAAUGGUCAUGAAGAAAAUUAAACACAUUGAUUAUGCAUCUUGAGGCCAUUUCUUCUAGAGUUUCACAUCUCUUUGCUCUUUGACUGGAUGGAUCAAUUCAUGUAUCCUAGUCCCUUUGGCCUUUUUAGAAGUUGAAGAAAGAUGACGGAAGACAGUUUGGUUUAUGGAUGCUUCCUCUGUGAUGUUAGAAAAUGCAUUGAGACAGAUCAACCAAAAAGUACUAUGCAAAUGGUUCUAUGUAUCCUCAGUGCCUCUUCAAGAUCAUUGCAAGCUUACAACUCUUGGACAGAAUGAGAAAAUAACUUUAUUCUCUGGUACUCAACAGUAGAUGUUUAACAUUAUACAAGAGCUCCUUUGAUGUGCUGAUAUGAUGAAGUUGUAUUGCUAAUCUUCUCCUGCAGUUAUCCAGGAGUGGCGUGGAGUGACAUUUUUCAGGGUUCUACCAAAUUUUAAGCUUAUUUUGAAGGUUCUGAUUGUUUCCUGGAAAGUGAAAGGGAAAAGCAACAAAGGAGCCAGAAGUGGAAGAGAAGAAGAAUAGAAGGAAAAUAAGAUGCUGGGUUUUUCCUAACUUUUCUCACCCUUCAAACAAGAAAUGAGUAGUUUCAAAACCAUAUAAAUCUUGACCAAACUUGAACACAUCCAUGUGUUCAAAAAAUUACAAAAUAUUUAAAGUCAAAACGUUUAGUUAUGGAUUGUUUGAACCUUGGGUGCUAGGGUCAUCCCUCUACUCUACACCACCUAUAAACACCAAGGUCGUCCCUCUAAUCCACACCACUUGAAUACAAUAGUCUUAAUAGUCCGAUUAAUUAUGGUACCAAUUUAGGUCAAAAUUAGUAACUUGGUCAAACUCGAUAUUACUAUUUACCUUAAUAGUAUAUAAAAUAACAAUAUUUUAAGAUGA